AACGCGAAGAACCUUACCUGGGCUCGAACGGCUAUGGACAAUCUUUGGAAACAGGGACUUCUCGCAAGAGACUGUAGUCGAGGUGCUGCAUGGCUGUCGUCAGCUCGUGUCGUGAGAUGUUGGGUUAAGUCCCGCAACGAGCGCAACCCUUGUCCUGUGUUGCCAUCAUUAAGUUGGGCACUCUCAGGAGACCGCCAGCGAUAAGCUGGAGGAAGGUGGGGAUGAUGUCAAGUCAUCAUGGCCUUUAUGUCCAGGGCUACACACGUGCUACAAUGGCCGGUACAAAGCGCUGCAAACUCGCAAGAGGGAGCUAAUCGCAAAAAACCGGUCUCAGUUCGGAUCGCAGGCUGCAACUCGCCUGCGUGAAGCUGGAAUCGCUAGUAAUCGGGGAUCAGCCACGCCCCGGUGAAUAUGUUCCUGAGCCUUGUACACACCGCUAGUC
rnacentral:rRNA from 1 species